CAAGUGGUACGCUCGUACCAGAACGUUGCGCGACGGCGGGCCCUGCCACCCGGUGCGACGGG
rnacentral:ncRNA from 1 species